ensembl:lncRNA
AAACUGCCCCCAGCUCUGCCACCCCCUCAAGCUCCUACACCGGCUCCCUUCCCUUCAGGACUCGACUUCCACAAGAGUCACACACGCGUGUCCACUUCCUCUUCACCCACGUGCCUGUGAGAGCCUCCUCGCACACACGCCUGCAAUCCCGAGCAGCGGGUCCGCCUGCAGCGCUCUAACGACACGAGCCUUCCACCAGCGAGGACCUGAAGCAGAAAGCAAGUGCCUGUUCCCUGCACUGGUCCUCCUCUGCACCUCGCUCUCUGAAGCGCACACUCUCCUCCUCGAAACUCCACCUUCCAGCGGGUUCGGCGUCAGGGGAAGCUUCUGGCUCUGCCUCUCUGUCCUCGCUGAUUUCUCCUCUAGUUUCUAGGAGUGGGCUAGGCAGGGACAGCCGCAAGAUACCCUAAACCUUCAGGAUGUCCUAACUUGGCAAAUGCCGGAACACCUGCAGAGGUUCGGAGCUUCCUCCUGAGUCGUGUUGGAGGCAGGGGCCCGUCUCCUGUGUUUCAGUCACUGCCACCAGGUAAGCGCUUCGAUAACUUUUGCUAAAGCGUAACUCUCACUUGAUGACCAUUUUCUACAAAGAAGUAAAUCACCUAAAUGAGAAUUACCGCCUCUACCACGAUGAGGAAGAAAAACUCAGGAUGCCGGGCAACUUGGUAGAUUCACGCCGAGCCAGGGGGCUCACUCCCGCAGCAGCCGGCCCGGUCACGCCUCGAAAGAUCUGCGAGCGCCAUGCCGUUAACUCUCAGCCUCUUCAAAACAUACAGACUCCAAGCGCCGCACCAGACACGCGAACGUCAGGGCAUCCUCCCGCUCCAGCAGCGCAGGCUCUCCGCGGCCUUCUCUUUCACCUCGAGGAUGCGACCGUCACUCCCAGGUGGACGGGGCUUCCUCUGGCACCCUGGGCUCUGUCCUCCGAUCCCGACACCAUCACGCCCACACUCUGUCGGGUGCCUCAGACUCAUAUGCCUGACACUAAUCAAUCGUCCCCAGCCCCACCUCCUCCUGCGGUUCUGAGUUGAGUCAAGGACGUGACGGGAACCUCCAAGGUACCAGAACCUAACCUUCAGGAUGAUGCUGUCCUCUGCCCUCCGGCCUGCUCCGAAGCUCCAGGCUCCCUGAGCUCAGGCCAGGCAGUGUGUUCAGUUGGCUGCCCCUGUGGCCUGCAUGUGUUCCUGUACACACACGGCAGGGGCUGGAGCGUGUCUGUGAGUGCGUGAGCUCCCCGUACACACACAGCAGGUGCUGGAGCGUGUCUGUGAGCACGUGAGCACCCUGUACACAUAUGGCACGUGCCAGAGUGCGCCUGUGAGCAUGUGAGCGCCCUGUACACACACGGCAGGUGCUGGAGUGCGUCUGUGAGGGUGUGAGCGCCCUAUACACAUACGACAGGCGCUUGAACAUGUCUGAGCACCCCGUACACACACAGCAGGUGCCAGAGCACGUCUGUGAGCACGUGAGCACCCUGCACACACAUGGCAGGUGCUGGAGUGUGUCUGUGAGCGCGUGAGCACCCUGUACACACAUGGCACGUGCCAGAGUGCGCCUGUGAGCAUGUGAGCGCCCUGUACACACACGGCAGGUGCUGGAGUGCGUCUGUGAGCAUGUGAGCGCCCUGUACAUACAUGACAGGUGCCGGAGCAUGUCUGUGAGCACGUGAGUGCCCUGUACACACACGGCAGGUGCUGGAAUGUGUCUGUGAGUGUGCGAGCACCCUGUACACACAGGGCAGGUGCUGGAGCGUGUCUGUGAGCGCAUGAGUGCCCUGUACACACAUGGCAGGUGCCGGAGCAUGUCUGUGAGCACGUGAAUCCCCUGGACACACAUGGCAGAUGCCGGAGCAUGUCUGUGAGCGCCCCGGACACACACAGCAGGUGCUGGAGAUUGUCUGUGAGGGUGUGAGCGCCCUGUACACACACAGCAGGUGCUGGAGUGCGUCUGUGAGUGUGCGAGCACCCUGUACACACACGGCAGGUGCUGGAGAGUGUCUGUGAGCGCAUGCGUGGCCCGUACACACACGGCAGGUGCCAGAGCACGUCUGUGAGCACGUGAGUGGCCUGUACACACACGGCAGAUGCCGGAGCACGUCUGUGAGCGCCCCGUACACACACAGCAGGUGCUGGAGUAUGUCUGUGAACGCGUGAGUGCCGGUACCCGUGGUGAAGGGACACCCUCUCAGCCUCGCUUGGGUCCAGCUUCAGCCCUCAAGGCUUCGAUGUCCAGUACGAGCUGAUCCUACAAACAGCAAAUGACACAUACUGCAGCUGU